GAUGAACGCUAGCGGCAGGCUUAAUACAUGCAAGUCGAGGGGCAGCGCAGUGUAGCAAUACAUGGGCGGCGACCGGCAAACGGGUGCGGAACACGUACGCAACCUUCCUUUAAGUGGGGGAUAGCCCAGGGAAACUUGGAUUAAUACCCCGUAAUAUUAUGAAGUGGCAUCACUUUAUACUUAUAGCUCCGGCGCUUAAAGAUGGGCGUGCGACUGAUUAGUGAGUUGGCGGGGUAAAGGCCCACCAAGCCUGCGAUCAGUAACUGGUGUGAGAGCACGACCAGUCACACGGGCACUGAGACACGGGCCCGACUCCUACGGGAGGCAGCAGUAAGGAAUAUUGGUCAAUGGACGCAAGUCUGAACCAGCCAUGCCGCGUGGAGGAUGAAGGUCCUCUGGAUUGUAAACUUCUUUUAUUUGGGAAGAAACCCACUAUUUCUACGGUGGUUGACGGUACCAGAUGAAUAAGCACCGGCUAACUCCGUGCCAGCCGCCGCAGUAACAC
rnacentral:rRNA from 1 species